rnacentral:tRNA from 1 species
GUUCGCAUCGUCUAGUGGUUAGGACACUUGAUUGUGGCUCAAGAAACGGGAGUUCGAUUCUCCCUGCGAACA